AUGCUACCACUACCCGUCCACCUGUCCUUCAUGCGCGGCCACUACCGGGCGGGCAUGAAGGCCAACCGGAUCAUCCUCAUCCACCAAUCUAGUAGUCUGUGGCGUCUCGUGGAUAGCUACACCCAAAUUAACCGAUGCAAGUCCAAGAAGGAUUGGUCGGUGUUGCCGGCUGGCAUCAAGUUCGAUCCCACGGAUCAGGAGCUGAUCGAGCACCUUGAGGCCAAACUGAGUGCUGACAACGCAAGAUCUCACCCUCUCAUCGAUUUGUUCAUACCAACCAUCGACAGCAAGCACGGCAUAUGCUACACCCAUCCUGAGAAACUUCCAGGUAUCACGCUAAGUGGCCUAAGCAAGCAUUUCUUCCAGCGUAAUUACAAGGUAUUCAAAAGGAGCACGUGGAUGCGUCGCAAGAUACAGUCGGAGUGCGGCAUGCAUGUGAUGUGGCACAAGACGGGCAAUACCUUGCCGAUGAUGGUCAACGGCCGGCAGACACGCAGCAAAAAGGUUCUGGUGGUGCACACCAACAAGAACUUUGACCAGCAGAGGACCAACUGGGUGAUGCGCCAGUACCACCUCAGGGGCCUGGAGCAAGAGAAGGAGCGGGAGCUGGUCCUCUGUAUAUUGUUUCUUCAGGUCGAGCAAAUUUCAACUGGGUUGUAG
rnacentral:rRNA from 1 species